CAGCCGUAAACUAUGCGCGUUAGGUGUAUCGGUGACCACGAGUUACCGAGGUGCCGAAGGGAAACCGUGAAACGUGCCGCCUGGGAAGUACGGUCGCAAGGCUGAAACUUAAAGGAAUUGGCGGGGGGAGGCACCACAACGGGUGGAGCCUGCGGUUUAAUUGGACUCAACGCCGGGAAGCUCACCGGAUAAGACAGCGGAAUGAUUGCCGGGCUGAAGACUCUGCAUGACUAGCUGAGAGGAGGUGCAUGGCGUAGACGUCU
rnacentral:rRNA from 1 species